ACUCUGUCACCCAGGCUGGAAUGCAGUGGCUCUAUCUUGGCACACUGCAACCUCAGCCUCCUGGGUUCAAGCUAUUCUCCUGCCUUAGCCUCCUGAGUAGCUAGGACUAGACGCAUUCACCACCACGCCCAGCUAAUUUGUGCAUUUUAAAAAUACAGGUGGGGUUUUGCCAUGUUGCCCAGGCUGGUCUUGAACUCCUGACCUCAAAUGAUCCUCCCACCUCGGCCUCCCUAAAUGUUGGCAUUACAGGCAUAAGCCACCAGGCUUGGCCUGAUUCUGUUUUUUAACACAAUUCCUAUUACUUCUGUUUUAAUUUUACAAAGCCAUAGGUUUUUAAUCUGAGAAACCUUUGAGAAAGCAUCCAGAUAAAUUUAUAAAUAGAAAAAUAAAUUCAGAUACAUAGAAUUAAGUUUAUGAUCUAAUUAGUGGGUGGCAACUGAAAAAUUUUCAAGUUCCAUAAACUGAAGUGAAAGGAUCACUUUCCUGAAAAUAUUACAAAGGCUUGAUAAUUACCUGGAUUGUACUAAAACCUACACAAUCUAGUAUAUUCUAUAGCAGCAAUUCAUAAAGACAGCUUCACUUACCAUGUAGAAUUUAUACGUACACUAAAUUUAAGGAAUGCAUUACUUGUUAUUGGAGAAGGAUAAUAACUCACAGCCGAACUGAUUUGCAUGAAUGCCUAUUAAACUAUCAUCGAUGUAGAAAUUAAAAGUUAAGCUAUUCAGCCCCAGAUGUGUGAGAGACAGAGAAAAUCUUCAAAAGAGUUCAGCUACCAAAUCUCUUCCUCAAUAGCUCUUUGAGUCUCCAGACAGUUUCAACCACACACAGCCUCAGAGUCUUAUGGUCCAAACAACAAUUGACUGCAGCUCUAAAGUAAGAAAACAUUUGAAAAGAAACAAUCAAAGAUCUAUGCCAAGUUAUGGUCAAGGAGGUCCACCUACUGGUGGGUGAGCAUGGCAAGGAUAGGGACUAAGCCAAAUGAUGGGUUUACCAAAACAGAAACAAGAGAAGCCAAUGGAAACAGAGUCCAGGUUAUAACAGGAGCCCAGGCACUUGAUGUGGGAACUCUAUUUGUCUCAUUUAGCAGCUAGAGUUUUAACGUCCUAUGAGGCACAGCUAAUGCCCUUCAUUAUUAUUUUUUGUAAUUGACUGCAUAGUUUAGAACUAUGCCUUGAAUUUAAUAUCUGUCUGUUGAAGAAGAGAAUAAUGAUGAAAAUCUGUCCACAGGUUCUGUGCAGUACUGAAGAGCAACUUCAGCUCUUGAGUUACAGCUCAAUGCAACCUCCUGGCAGGCCAGCCUUAAGCCCAGCAGUCCAACCAUGCAUCUAAGCUGAGUUCUCAUCAGAGCCAACUUCAAUUAUAAACAACUGAGAUGAUGCCAGAGGCCAGAAUCCCUGAGAACCCAAUUUGCUGUCAUCACCAUGGCUGAAACAAGGUGCUUGGCAUCUAGAAAAGGUGAUCUGUGGGAAAUUUCCAAUAGAGUUCAAUUUUUCUAAGUUUAAAGUGUACAAUAUCAUCAAGGUCAGACACUCGAGAUAAAACUAGGCUUGCAUUUAAAUAUAAUAAAAAAAUUUGAAGAAUA